GCUUCUUUCUUUCUCUCUAUAUUUUCAAUUUCAUUUGUAGAACUCUUGAGUCUGUGUUGCAUAUUAAGACUAUUUUGGCCUUCGUUAUGUUAAUGCUCACGGUUCCUAUUUCUGAAUUUUGAUGUUAGCUUAGCAUAUCUGAUUUUGGUAUCUGAAUUUUGAUGAAUUUUGAUGCUCACGGUUCCUAUUUCUAAAACCUUCUUUCUUUCUCUCUAUAUUUUCAAUUUCAUUCACGUAGAACUCUACUUGCGGCGGCUUCACGAAUCAUGAUCUUGGUUUUGAAAUCUGAGCCUGUGUUACGUGAUUUUUAAACCCUAGCGGAACGCAAUCUUUUGAAAUAUUGUGGUUCGUAUUAGCGAUAAUGAAGAUCAAACAUAAAGACUUGGAUAUUCAUCCCAAAAAGUCUGUCAAGUCAAAGAAUUUCAAGAAACAUCGAAAGCAAGGGAUUGCAGUCCAAACAACACUAAACAAGUUGACAAACAAAACACCACUUGAACCUGAACCAUCAUCUCCGAUUAAGAACUCGCCUAAAGAUGAUUUUGGUGAUCUCUUUCUUGUGUUCGGCGACAAUGAUCCUCCGAUAUCAAAACAUGAGGCAGAUGGAAAGGAAGGGAUUACAGUUCAAAAAACACCAAACAGGUUAACAAACAAAGCACCACUUGAACCUGAACCGUCAUCCCCGAAAAAGUAUUCUUCUCAAGAUGAUUUUGGUGAUCACUUUGAUCCUUCGAAAUCAAAGCAUGGUACGCCGACUUGACUUUCUCUUCACCAUUUGAUGUAAUACUAGACAAGAUAUUUUGUAGAAAUUCACUUUCCCUUAUGUAAUAUUUUAUCUAUGGAGUUUGGAUUUCAUUUGCUUAUGUCAAAAUUAAAUUCAUUUAUCUUUUAUAGAGGCAGAUGGAAAGGAAGGGAUUACAGUUCAAAAAACACCAAACAGGUUAACAAACAAAGCACCACUUGAACCUGAACCGUCAUCCCCGAAAAAGUAUUCUUCUCAAGAUGAUUUUGGUGAUCACUUUGAUCCUUCGAAAUCAAAGCAUGAUGGAGUUACAGUUCAACCUGAAGAUGAUGAGGACAGGUAUUCCGAGUUUGAUGAAGACAACGACAAAAGCCUGAUUGGGAAGACUUCCCUUUUUUUAAUAUUCGGAUAUUACCUCUUCAUCAUAAAGUGAGGAUUCCUGAUUUCUCGCCUCCUGAUUUGUCACCUGAUUUGUCACCUUCUGAUUUGUCACCUUCUGAUUUGUCACCUCCUACCAAAAAGUAUAUACCUGAAGGUUAUAAAAAAGGGGAUCGCAUCUUCUGCUUACAUGAUCAUAAUGAGUGUGUUGCUGAACAGUUGGGAUACCGCGAUGGGUCUCGUAUAUCAAGACGCCAUUUCAAAUAUUUCGAUGAUGAUUAUUUAAAGAAGGUUCCACUUUCCCCAAAAGACUCAUCCAAAUAUUGGGAUUCAGACUACUACGGUACACCCUCAGGCUCUCCACGUGAUUUCAUAAUUCCUCAGGAGACUUCUUCAGAUGCAGAUUCCUGUAAUAAAAUCGACGACCAAGUGGAUUCUACCCCUUGAUAGUACCCAAAUUUUAUUUUCUCUAUUUCUUUGUUGUUGCAUAAUACAUUUAGACUUGCUAUAUUACUUUCAGGUAUUUCUUAUAAUGUAUCAACUUUUGAUUAAGUUGUUCUGAACAAGCCUAUCAAAGUACAUGCUUUAGUUAGCAGUAAGUAAUUAACUUUUGGUGACUACCUAUGAUACUCUCUCCUUAUGAGAAUCGUGCUAUAUAAAAAUUGUUUUUUUGUUUUUG